CUGCCCUUUGCUGCCUCAGCGUACCUCUCCCUCUUCUUUGACGAUCGUUGAUCUGCCUGCGACUCUCUACUCCCCCUCCUUCGCCAGUCACGCAGCACGCUCCUUCUGUCCCUCCCACACCCUGUCAUUCUUCAGUCUCGCUCUGGCUGCCCCUCCCACCUACAUCUCUCUCCAGCCUUGUGCCCUCAUUCUCCAAUCUGUUUCACUCCCUCUGUCCCUCUCCAUUCAUCUCAAGUGUUGCUCAUCCCCUGCAUCUUCCAUCCUCCGUGUCUUCUUUCCCCUUAUGCCACAACCUGCAGCAAUACAACAUGCUCAAGAGUCAAUAUAAGGAAAAAAGACAAAAAUCAGAACAAAUCUACGGAUCAAGAUAAAAUUAUUGUGCUCUCUUAAGGAAGGACUACAUGGACGUUUUCAGCGCGAUCUGACCUGCUGCGACA